CCUUAUAGCCAUGCCACCCUGAACAAGCCCGAUCUCGUCUGAUUUCAGAAGCUAAGCAGGGUCGGGCCUGGUUAGUACUUGGAUGGGAGACCACCUAGGAAGACCCAGGUGCCUGUAGGCA
rnacentral:rRNA from 1 species